rnacentral:lncRNA from 1 species
GUAUGACAGGUGCUGUUCGGUCGGCGCAUUAAUAUUCAAAUUAACCGUUAGCUUCUCAGCCACAAUUUCAGCUAAUUCGUCAGGAUGCAGGCUACGGGGAAUUGUCAGCUCUUGUCCCGCUAGCUGUUGCCGUGGUGACCGGUGUGGAGAUAAUAGCAGUUAAUGAGAUAUUAACCCCGAAUAAGGAAGAAGACAGGAAGUGAUGAGCGUUUGCUGGAAAGACUAAAGACAGGAUUCGUCAAUGGAUGACCCCUUCCAGAUCAAUAUUGUUCUGUUAUUCGGCGUAGGUAACAAGCAGCGCGACCCCGUCCCUUUGAGACUGAGGAGAUCUAUUCUUGUAAUCAUAAAGCACUCAAGAUGAGAGAUGGAAAAUGGAGACAAAAAGGGAAUGAAAUGAGAAAAGUAGAAGAAUUAGAGACAAAACAAAAGACAAGGUGAGGGGAAAUUGCCAAAAAGAGCACAAAGACAGAUUGGUUGAUAGUUGCAGUUG